CGAGUUAUCUGAACCUUCGGGGGACGAUAACGGCGUCGAGCGGCGGACGGGUGAGUAAUGCCUAGGAAAUUGCCCUGAUGUGGGGGAUACCAUUGGAAACGAUGGCUAAUACCGCAUAACACCUUCGGGUCAAAGAGGGGGACCUUCGGGCCUCUCGCGUCAGGAUAUGCCUAGGUGGGAUUAGCUAGUUGGUGAGGUAAUGGCUCACCAAGGCGACGAUCCCUAGCUGGUCUGAGAGGAUGAUCAGCCACACUGGAACUGAGACACGGUCCAGACUCCUACGGGAGGCAGCAGUGGGGAAUAUUGCACAAUGGGCGCAAGCCUGAUGCAGCCAUGCCGCGUGUGUGAAGAAGCUUCGGGUUGUAAAGCACUUUCAGUCGUGAGGAA
rnacentral:rRNA from 1 species